CUUAAUUUGGCAUGCGAACAUACAAUGUCCAUUAAUAAUCCUUAUGAGGUUAAUCCAUGCGGUAGCUAUGUACAACUUGCUCUUCUUCUUCGUUUAUCUAUUACACUAAUUUAUGUACAUUUUUUCUUUAAUUUUCUAUUAUGAAUUUCUAUUUACACUAUUAGAAUUUUUCAAUUAUUCACGGAACUCGUACUCCUUUCUAAAUUCUUCUCUCUUCUUCUUUUUCUUCGGAUCAUCACUAUACUCAACUUUUUCACCUAAUCUUCCACGUAUUAUUAAUCCCCCCUUCUAAAACACAAGGCCUCGAUGGCCAUCUCAGAUUUCAAUCCGAGACAAUGAGAACCGAACCGAUUAUUGAAGUUACUACUUCACUUGUCAAGUGACGACUCGACUAUAUUACGCGACGAACGAAUUCAAACUGAAGCAAUUUGCUUCGAUUUCAGAUGACGAUCCGAAAAACCCGAAACCUAUCCCUAAAUUACUCCCCCUAAUCGUGUAUUUACGUUCCCGUGUGAUGAUCCGAUAUUUUAUUCGCGACGGUACUGUUCGUACUACCAGGCAUACUACCACACUCAACCAAUUUCUACGACUUCCUAAGCUUUAUGCUGUCAGUCAGUCUUUCGUCGCGAAUCACUGUGGCCGGUCCGAGUUCGAUGCGAAAUAAUUAAAUUCUUAUCAUUUUACAUUUAUAUUCUAGUUAAACAUAUUUAGGUAUUUAAGCAAAAUAUUAUUAUGAUUUAAGUGAAGUGGCAUGCUGAAUUGGUGAAGAAAUUUAAUCUAAAUCCACGGCCAGAACGUCUACUUCGACAGCUCGCGAUAACGCAUCCGCAAUUAUGUUCAGCUUCCCCUUCCGGUACUCCAGAGUGAAAUCAUGCUGUUGCAGCUUGAGCGCCCAUCUUGCAAGACGCGCGGAGUUCCCUCAACGCUAAUCUGGUUCAGCCAUCGCAAUGACUGCGCAUCGGUGACUACGCGGAACCUGGUUCCCUCGACAAAAUGGCGAAACUUCUCUAUGGCGAGGAUAACGGCGAGGCAUUCCCGUUCUGUUGCGGAGUACUUCAUCUGUGUGGCCGAGAAUUUGCGGGAAAAAAAUGCGAUUGGUCGGCGUAUUCCUUCUUGAUACUGGACCAAAACAGCUCCGGCUGCGACCGCUGAAGCAUCGGACUCGAUGACGAACUGCUGAUUAAAGUCCGGAUUGGCCAGCACCGGGGGUGAAGUAUGACCGAUUAAUUCAACCGAAUACACGACGAUGGAUAAAUUAUUCCAGCGAAUUUCUAACGUAUCCCAAUUCGACGAUUUCAACCAAAACCCAAAUGUAAGUACUAAUCCUA